AUUGAACGCUGGCGGCAGGCCUAACACAUGCAAGUCGGGCGAGCGUCGGACGGGUGAGUAAUGUAUGGGGACUGCCUGAUGGAGGGGGAUAACUACUGGAAACGGUAGCUACUACCGCCUACUAUCAGCUAACCCAUCUGGGGUUAGCUAGUAGGUAAGGUAACGGCUUAGCAAGGCGCAGAUUCCGAGCUGGUCUGAGAGGAUGAUCGGCCACACGGGGACUGAGAGAAGGCCCAGACUCCUCCGGAGGCAGCAGUGGGGAAUUUUGCGCAAUGGGCGCGAGCUUGAUGCAGCCAGGCCGCGUGUAUGAAGAAGGCCGUUGGGUUGUAAAGUACUUUCAGUCGGGAGGCGUUUCCCACAGAAGAAGCACCGGCUAACUCCGUGCCAGCAGCCGCGGGAAUUC
rnacentral:rRNA from 1 species